rnacentral:rRNA from 1 species
UNGGAAUUACUGGGCGUAAAGCGAGCGCAGACGGUUUAUUAAGCAAGAUGUGAANUCCCCGAGCUUAACUUGGGAACUGCGUUUUGAACUGGUAAGCUAGAGUAUGCCAGAGGGGGGUAGAAUUCCACGUGUAGCAGUGAAAUGCGUAGAGAUGUGGAGGAAUACCGAUGGCGAAGGCAGCCCCCUGGGAUAAUACUGACGUUCAUGCUCGAAAGCGUGGGUAGCAAACAGGAUUAGAUACCCUGGUAGUCCACGCCCUAAACGAUGUCAAUUAGCUGUUGGGCAACAUGAUUGCUUAGUAGCGUAGCUAACGCGUGAAAUUGACCGCCUGGGGAGUACGGUCGCAAGAUUAAAACUCAAAGGAAUUGACGGGGACCCGCACAAGCGGUGGAUGAUGUGGAUUAAUUCGAUGCAACGCGAAGAACCUUACCUGGUCUUGACAUGUACGGAAUCUUCCAGAGACGGAAGAGUGCCUUCGGGAGCCGUAACACAGGUGCUGCAUGGCUGUCGUCAGCUCGUGUCGUGAGAUGUUGGGUUAAGUCCCGCAACGAGCGCAACCCUUGUCAUUAGUUGUCACCAUUCAGUUGGGCACUCUAAUGGGACUGCCGGUGACAAACCGGAGGAAGGUGGGGAUGACGUCAAGUCCUCAUGGCCCUUAUGACCAGGGCUUCACACGUCAUACAAUGGUCGGUACAGAGGGUAGCCAAGCCGCGAGGUGGAGCCAAUCUCAGAAAACCGAUCGUAGUCCGGAUUGCACUCUGCAACUCGAGUGCAUGAAGUCGGAAUCGCUAGUAAUCGCAGGUCAGCAUACUGCGGUGAAUACGUUCCCGGGUCUUGUACACACCGCCCGUCACACCAUGGGAGUGGGGGAUACCAGAAGUAGGUAGGCUAACCGCAAGGAGGC